GAGUUUGAUCUUGGCUCAGGAUGAACGCUGGCGGCGUGCUUAACACAUGCAAGUCGAACGAAGCGCCUUAUUUGAUUUUCUUCGGAACUGAAGAUCUGGUGACUGAGUGGCGGACGGGUGAGUAACGCGUGGGGUAACCUGCCCUGUACAGGGGGAUAACAAUCAGAAAUGACUGCUAAUACCGCAUAAGACCACAGCACCGCGUGGUGCAGGGGUAAAAACUCCGGUGGUACAGGAUGGACCCGCGUCUGAUUAGCUGGUUGGUGAGGUAACGGCUCACCAAGGCGACGAUCAGUAGCCGGCUUGAGAGAGUGAACGGCCACAUUGGGACUGAGACACGGCCCAAACUCCUACGGGAGGCAGCAGUGGGGAAUAUUGCACAAUGGGGGAAACCCUGAUGCAGCAACGCCGCGUGAGUGAAGAAGUAUUUCGGUAUGUAAAGCUCUAUCAGCGGGGAAGAAAGUGACGGUACCUGACUAAGAAGCCCCGGCUAACUACGUGCCAGCAGCCGCAGU
rnacentral:rRNA from 1 species